AUGGCAACAUCAUGGUGGGAUCAUGGUGGAAUCAUGGUGACAUCAUUGUGGGAUCAUGGCCAGACAUGCAGCCCUACUUGUAACCUUGGAGAAUAUUAUGACAGUGUUUGUGUAGCAUGUCCUACAUGUUCGAUUGGUACUUAUAGCUCAGCUGGUGCUGUGUCAUGUUCAGCCUGUCCUGCUGGAUUUAUGUGUGGUACCGCUGGAACAUCGUCACCUACAGAAUGUGGAAGCGGUUACUAUGCCAACAACAGUAGUCAGGACUGCACACCAUGUCCAGCCGGAUUCAAAUGUCCAAUCGCUGGAAUGCCUGAACCUAUUCAGUGUGAUGAUGGAUUUUAUAAUGAAAUUGAAGCGUUGUCUUCCUGUGAUGCAUGUCCUGCUGGAUAUGAGUGUCCUAACCAGAAUAGUAAAGUUGCCUGCGCUGCUGGAUAUUACAGUGCUUCUGGUGACAUCACAUGUACACAAUGCGGUGCUGGCUAUUAUAGUGCAGGAUUCUCCUGUGCAGUAGCUAGUCAGGAUCCAGUACAAUGUGGUCAGGGAUACAUCUCAGCAGCCGGAGCCACCAGUUGUACAAUAUGUGCUAAUAAUGAGAUAAGUGAUGCAACCAAUACAAAUUGUCUUCCAUGCCCGGCUGGUAAGUCAUGUACUGACCCAACACAGGACCCAAUAGAUUGUGGUAAUGGUGAAUACGCUGCUGCUGGGGAUGCAGUCUGUGUGAGUUGUCCUGUUGGCAUGCAGUGUCCGUCCACGUCUACUAAAGAAACAUGUAAUACAGAUGAUGUAUGUGCUGAUUGUGGCGUAGGGUUUUAUUGUGAGACUGGUGCGUCAUCACCUACGGCAUGCCCUGAUGGAAAAUACACCACUGAUACAACUGCUACAGCAUGUACCACAUGUCCUGCAGGAUCAGAAUGUACAACAUCUACUAAGACAGACUGUUCAGCUGGUUACUACUCAUUAGGAAAUACAAUGUCAUGUACAGAAUGUCCUGCAGGUUACCAAUGUCCUGUGACUACUUCGGCCCCUGUGGCAUGUAACACUGGUUGGUACAAUGAUGAUCCCUUGUUGUUAUGUCGUCAAUGUCCAGAAGGGUCAGUCUGUUCUGAUGCUACCCAGGCACCUGUUCUAUGUGAUCCAGGUCAAUAUAGUAGUAAUGGGUCAACUGUAUGUCAGGAUUGUCCCCCUGGUCAUGCCUGUCCAACAGUGGGGAUGACUCCAUCUGAUAUAGUGGUGUGUGCUGUUGGUACAUACGCCAUUGCUGGUUCCAUCGCAUGUACUUCAUGCACAGCUGGAUAUUACUGUGCAAGCACACAAACUGAUACCGAAAUUGCAUGUGAACCUGGUACCUAUUCUUUAGCUGAAAGUACAUCAUGUACAACGUGCCCCGCUGGUGAAGCCUGCAGCAGUACGGAUGGAACGAAUAAUCAAGUUUGUGUAGCAGGAACAUAUAGUUUAUCCCGAAGUAUUACAUGUACAGAUUGUCCUGCAGGGUUUGCAUGCCCUAAUACUGAUAACGAUUACCAAGAAGUCUGCUUGCCAGGAACAUAUUCCAUUGGACGUCAAACACAAUGUACUGUCUGCCCACCUGGAAGUAUGUGUCCAUAUACUAAUCGUGAUACUCAGAUUACAUGUGCUGAUGGAUACUAUUCAGCUGGCAAUCAGUCUACCUGUUAUGCCUGUCCUGCUGGUUAUGAAUGUCCAAGCACUUCAACUGAUUCAGCUACCCCGUGUGCCCCAGGCUAUUACUCCUUCGGCAGACAGAUGACAUGUACCGCAUGCUUACCAACGUAUUACUGUCCGACAACCACUGGUGGACCUUUAAUAUGUCCUUCUGGAUACUAUAGUGGUGCUGUUGCUACAAACUGUACCUUGUGUGAAGCCGGCUACAAAUGCCCAGAUAGAGAAGGUUAUUAUUGUGAAGGGCCAGGUGAAUAUCAGUAUGAAAUCUACACAUGUCUAGCAGGUCAUUAUUGUCUCCGAGGUACUUCAUAUGCUACAAGAUAUCCCUGUCCAGCUCCGGAUCAAUGUAUUGACUGUCCUGUUGGCCACUAUUGUCCAUAUGGAAGUGCAAUAGAACCACGAAUACAACCAUUACCAUGCGAACCUGGUACUUACAAUCCAGAUGAGAAAACCGGACAUUCAUAUAAUUGUCGUCUUUGUGAUGGUGGAAGAUCAUGUCCAUGGAGUGGGCAGGAUAAUAGCACCCAUCCUUGUAUGGAAGGUCACUACUGUCCAAAUGGUACUAUAACUGACGACCAGUAUCCAUGCCUGCCGGGUACAUAUACAGGUGCAACUGAUCUCACUUCAGCUGAUGAGUGCUCUGAAUGCCCAUUAGGACAUUACUGUACAUGGGGGACAGGCGUUGUUAAUAAUCCACCACGACCAUGUCAGGUAGGACAUUAUUGUCCACCUAUGACUCCAUCUCCUGAUCGCUUUCCAUGUCCUCCUGGAACAUUCUCACCAAACUCAGACAAUUCAGAAGUUGGUAAUUGUACUAUAUGUACUGAAGGACAUUACUGUCUUGGUGGUGAAAGUACAGAGUCUGGCAUUUGUCCACGUGCUUAUUAUUGUCCAGCUGGUACUACAAUACCUGAACAAUAUGGUUGUCCUAAUGGUACUUAUAAUCCUAGCUACUCUAUAGCAUCUGCUGAUGAAUGUAAAAACUGCACACAAGGUCACUUUUGUGAGUUUGCGUCUAUUACUCCUACUGAGUGUCCUGAGGGUACUUACAUGCCUUAUGGCGAAGACACAAGUGGUGUAGUUCAAGGUACUCCAGCUGGUUACCAAUUUGACUGUCUAGCAUGUCCCGGUGGUCAUACAUGUCUGAAUGCAACGGUUGUACCUACACCAUGUGGUACUGGCUACUAUACAAAAGCAGGUCAAACUGAGUGUAAAGUGUGUCUGAUUGGGCAUUAUUGUGAUAAUACAUCAACAUCAGAAGAUGAUAUGUUGACCAACAUGAGAUGCCCUGCAGGCAAGUUUUGUCUUGCAGGUUUAAACUCUACUCCAUGUCCUGAAGGAACAUAUCGUGAUCAACUUGGAGCUGGAGUUGUAGAAGACUGUCCAAUUUGUCCAGAGGGAUACUACUGUGAACUUGGUCAAUCAGAACCUAUUGAUUGUCCACGGGCUUUCUACUGCCCAUUGGGGUCAUCGGCCCCAACAUUGUGUCCUCUUGGCAGAUAUGGAAAUCAAACAAGGCUUUCAAAUGGUACUGGAUUAACCUCGGCUGGUUUCUGGUCUAAGAGAGGAGCCGAACAAGCAGGACCGUUUGGUUCUGAGACAGACUUUUGGGGUAUUUGUCCUGUGGGGUUCUACUGCCCAGAAGGAAGUGGAAACCCUACACCUUGUCCACCUGGGACAUAUAGUACAUCAACUCAUCUUACCGCUCUGUCAGAGUGUACCCUGUGUACAGCUGGCUAUUACUGUGAUGAUUAUAAUAUGACAGAUGUAACCGGACAAUGUGCACCUGGCUACUAUUGUCUUAAAGGCUCUCCGGAAUAUCAACCUACAGAUCCAACUUACGGUGAUGAAUGCCCUACAGGUUAUCGAUGUCCAGCAGGUUCUGAAUAUCCUAUACCAUGUCCAGCUGGUAGAUACACAAAUAUUACAAAACAAACAUCGUGUACUGUGUGUCCAGCUGGAUUCUACUGCUAUGAGAACACUACUAUACCAGAUUCCUGUCCUGGUGGCUACUAUUGUGAAGACCAGACAACGAGUCCUUACCAGUAUCCAUGUCCUAGAGGAACAUUUAAUAAUCUGACAGAAAGAACUACCAUUGGUGAUUGUCUAGCUUGUCCACCUGGUUUGUAUUGCGGCAAUCAAGGGUUGGAUUGGCCUUCUGGUGACUGUGAUCCCGGAUACUUCUGCAAGAAUGGAUCAGAAUUUGCACAACCAGUUGAUGCUGUCCAAGGAGGGCAAUGUUUAUCUGGUGAAUUCUGUCCAGCUGGUAGUUCCUUACCUUUAGACUGUACGCCAGGCUCCUUCUGUGGUAGAGACAUAUGUCCAUCAGGUCAUUACUGUCCAUCUGGUAGUGCAGCUGGUGUAGCCUGUCCACCAGGUACUUUUACCAAUACUACUGGUAAUACAUAUAUCGGUGACUGUCUCAAUUGUACAGCUGGAUUCUAUUGUGGUGGUUAUGGUAAUACUCAGGAAACAGAAGAGUGUGAUGAAGGCUACUAUUGUCCAUAUGGACAGGCUAUAUCCAAUCCCAAUGAUUAUAUGUGUCCUAUAGGACAUUACUGUCCACGUGGUAGCAUUGAGCCAGUGAGAUGUUCUUCAGGGACAUAUCAAGAUGAGAUCGCACAGAGUACAUGUAAGACGUGUCCAUCUGGUUACUUCUGUGAUAACACAUAUGAACCAGUUGUACUGUUUCAGAACUCUACCUGCCCUGUUGGCUACUAUUGCCCAGCAGGAACCCGAUAUGCUUAUGAAUACAAAUGUCCAAGAGGUACCUUCAGCAACCAACCUGGUUUAAACGUAUCAGAAGACUGCAAUCCAUGUCCUGGUGGUUAUUUCUGUCCAGAGGAAGCGAUGACAACCUAUUCAGAUCUCUGUUCACCAGGUUACUUCUGUCGUCGCUAUGCAAUUGAAGCUACACCCACUCAGGAUGAUGAUGCUAAUAUUUGCCCACCUGGAUUCUAUUGCCCAGAAGGUACAGAUGAACCCGAACGUUGUCCACCGGGUACUUAUUCUACGGCUACAAUGCUAGAAGCUGUAUCUGAAUGUGAGAAUUGCACUAAGGGAUUCUACUGUGCUGACUUCAAUCUAAGUAUUCCCAAUGGUGAAUGCUAUGCAGGAUACUAUUGCCCUGAAGGAUCUACAAAACCAGAUGAAAUUGACUGCCCUGUGGGACACUAUUGCCCUAAUGGUACCUUUGAUCCAAUCCCUUGUCCUGCUGGAAGCUUUAGUAAUGAAACUAACAAAGUUGGUCCUGAUGGUGAGAAUGGAUGCUAUGCUUGUACUGGAGGUUUAUACUGUGAAACAGAAGGAUUGACUACACCCACUGGGUACUGUGGAGAGGGUUACUAUUGCCCACCAGGUUCUAUUCAUAUGCAACCAGGUGAUACAUUUUGUCCUAUUGGUCAUUACUGUCCAGAGGGCGUGGCAUAUCCAAUACCUUGUAGAAACAACAGUGAGGUAAACCAUACACAUGCUGUAGAAUGUUAUGAAUGUCCAGCUGGCUACUACUGCCCUCAAGCAGGUAUUAAACAAAUCUGUCCUAAGGGGUACUACUGUCCUGAAGGUACUGGUAUUGAUUUGAAAUUCUGUCCUAGGGGGACCUACAGUGACCAAGAAGGCAAUUACAUGCUAAGCCAGUGUAUACCAUGUGAUGCUGGGUAUUAUUGUGAACAGGAACAUUUAUCAGCCCCCUCAGGAGAAUGUAGUUCUGGAUACUAUUGUGUGUACGGAGUUGACAGAUCUAACCCAGAUGGUGAUAACUCCACAUCGGAUGGCUCUACCAAUGAUACAUGUCCAUACUUUGAUGGACAUCAAUCCGGUUAUGGUGGUAUGUGUCCCAUGGGACAUCACUGCCCACAAGGUUCUGUACUGCCUAUACCUUGUAGUGCUGGUACUUAUGCACCAUAUGAAAGAAUGGGGGUGUGUCUGACAUGUGAAGCAGGUUACUACUGUCCAAAUGGGUCAUCAACCUUUGAUGAUAAGCCGUGUCCAGCUGGUCACUAUUGUCCCGAGGGGACGGAGUAUUCCAACCAGUAUCCUUGUUCUGCUGGUACAUUUAACAACCUAACCGGUAAAAGUUAUGAAAGUGACUGUACAGGAUGCCUUGGUGGUUACUACUGUGCAAGUAGUGGUCUUGAUUGGCCAACUGGUCCAUGUGCACCUGGGUACUAUUGUGAUAUCAACUCUACUACUAAUAUGCCUACUGGCAGUGGUGGAAAUGAGUGCAUGGCUGGUUACUUCUGUCCUGAAGGUUCAGCGUUCCCUACACCCUGUACAGGGGGCUACUAUUGUGCUGUUGGUUUGUUAGGUGUAGUUUCUGGUGCUUGUGAUGCAGGAUAUUACUGCUUUUCUAAGGCCACUGUACCAACACCAAAUGAUGGCAAUGUGACUGGUGACAUAUGUCCAGCUGGAUCGUACUGCCCAGCAGCCAGUGACUCACCAAUGCUAUGUCCUGCUGGUACAUAUCUGAACAGCACUGGUAAUGAUGAUAUCCUGGACUGUAUUGAUUGCACUGCAGGGUGGUACUGUGCUGGAGGUGGUAAUGAUGUGCCCACUGGUCUGUGUUAUGAAGGAUACUAUUGCCCUGCUGGUCAGUCUGAAGAUAGGCCUCCUCAGUAUAACUGUACACAAGGUCAUUAUUGUCCAACUGGUAGUCCUGAACCAAUACGAUGCAUCUCUGGUGAAUACCAAGAUCAAACUGUACAGUCAACAUGUAAAGACUGCCCACAAGGAUACUUCUGUGAUAAUACCAUAGAUCCAGUUGUCUUGUACACUGAUUCAUAUUGCCCAACAGGUUAUUAUUGUCCAGCCAAGACUAAGAGAUACAAUGAGUUUCCUUGUCCACGUGGUAUGUUUAACAAUCUAACUCAUCGUGUUGAAUUAAACGACUGUCAGCCUUGUACUGGUGGAAUGUAUUGUGAUACAGAAGGGUUAUCAGAACCAACAGGACUUUGUCAACAAGGUUAUUUCUGUACCAGUGGUUCGAAUUUGUCAACACCAACUUUCAGUGACGGCAAUGAUGUAUGUCCAGUUGGUCACUAUUGUACGGAAGGAUCAGCAGCACCACAUCCAUGCCCACCUGGUACUUUCAAUCCAGAUAUUCUAUUGACCAAUGAGAAUGACUGUUUCAACUGCACACCUGGGUAUUAUUGUGAACACUGGGGUAUGAACUAUACCGACUCACUUUGUGAUGCAGGUUAUUAUUGUGAUAGUGGAGCUGAUAUUGCCCAGUUUAAACAGUGUACAUCAGGUCAUUAUUGUCCCAUUGGUACAGAUAUACCUAUAGAUUGUCCUGCUGGUACAUGGUCCAAUACACCAGGACUUGAAGCACAAACAGAUUGUACUGGAUGCCCAGGUGGUUUCUACUGUCCUACAAGUGGUAUGACUGAAGUGACUGAGAUAUGUUGGGGUGGGUAUUACUGCCCUGGUAAUAACAGUGUGCCAAACCCAGCUGAGUUUAUUUGUCCAGUUGGUUUAGUUUGUCCCAAUGGUAGUGAGAUUUAUAAGUCAUGUGAGCCAGGAUAUUAUACAAACUUUACUGGAGCUGCAGAAUGCGUGAUUUGCCCUGAAGGUUACUAUUGCCUGCCAGUAGAAAUACACAAUGCCUCAUUAGCAUAUCAACCAUGCCCAAAAGGAUACUUCUGUCCAAUUGGGACUGGACUUGAUUGGCAGUCUUGUCCAGCCGGUACAUACAAUGAUGUAGAAGGGUUGAGUGAACAAAACCAGUGUUCACCUUGUGAGGGCGGUAUGUACUGUGAUAAUGUUCAUCUCACAGCACCUACUGGUAAUUGCUCUGAAGGUUAUUAUUGUACAUCUGGAGUUGACAGACCUAUGCCUAGUGCUGAUAACAUUACAGUAAUUGAUGCAUCUUGUGCUUGCCCAGAGCAGAGUUUUUUCAGAGGUGUUGGUGGGAUAUGUCCAUUAGGUCAUUAUUGUCCCCUGGGUACCACACACCCUAUACCCUGUGAAGAUGGAACAUAUAGCGAUGUACUGGGAAGAUCUACGUGUAAACUCUGUCCAGCUGGUUACUACUGUACUGCUAAUUCUACAGAGUUUGAUGCCUACCCUUGUCCAGCAGGUUACUACUGUCCAAAUGGCACUCGGUAUUCAACUGAAUUCCCAUGUGUACCAGGUACAUUCAAUGCACUACUGUACGGUAGAACGAUAGAUGAUUGUAUACCGUGUCCUCUUGGUAAAUACUGUGAAGGGUUUGGUAAUAGUAAUUAUACUGAUGAUUGCAUGGCUGGAUGGUACUGUUCUGGUGGAUCCGCAAGUCCCAAUACUACCACACAUGGUGGUAUAUGUCAACCUGGAUACUACUGCCCUCAAGGUUCUGCGGCUCCUUUACCCUGUCCAGGAGGUGAAUUCUGCCAAACAGAAGGACUAGCUCUACCAACAGAUUACUGUUCUGCUGGUUAUUAUUGUACAUUAACAUCGGAUACACCUACUCCUGGUGAUGGCAUCAUUGGUGAUAUAUGCCCUGCUGGUUUUUACUGUCCAAUGGGAUCACCCUAUCCUAUACCAUGUGACCCUGGUACUUAUACACCUGUCAUUGGUAAUGUUAACAUCACUGACUGUACUCUGUGUAGUUUAGGUGAAUACUGCGAAGAAUUCAACAUGACACAGACAUCAGGUAACUGUACGCAAGGCUACUAUUGCCCUAGAGGUCAAAACAUUGCUGACCCCAUUGAAUGUCCUGAGGGUCACUACUGUCCUGAACAUUCAUUUGAACCGCUACUGUGUCCUAGUGGUACAUAUCAAGACCUUGCUGGCCAAUGGACAUGCAAGACCUGUCCAGCUGGGUAUUACUGUGAUAACUCAUUGGGUGUUGUUAUAAUCAAUGAUACAAUCACAUGCCCUGCUGGAAGCUAUUGCCCACCUGGAACUCAGAGAGCUGAUCAACAUUUAUGUCCACGUGGUACCUAUGGUAACCAGACUGGAUAUGACCAGGUUGUGGACUGUACACCUUGUUCUGGUGGUUACUAUUGUGAAGAGAUUGGUCUCACCUAUCCUACCGGUCUGUGUGCUGCUGGAUUCUAUUGUAGACAGUAUGCUAAUACAUCUACACCUAACUUAGGUUAUGAUGCUGAUGUCUGUCCACAAGGUUCCUACUGCUUAGAAGGCACUGCAGAACCAUAUGCCUGUCCACCAGGUACCUUUGGAGCUACAGAAGGUUUACAUAACUCUAGCAGUUGUACACCAUGUCUAGCAGGAUUCUAUUGUGAAAGUGAAGGACUUCUUGAUGUUGAAGGUCCUUGUAGUGCUGGUUAUUACUGUCCAGAAGGCUCUGAUUCACGUACUAUGGUUGUAUGUACAACUGGUGACCAUUGUCCACAACAGUCAGAUAUUCCUACACUGUGUCCAGAAGGUACAUUCAAUCCGUAUGAAGGUCUUAAUAGCACCGAUCAGUGCACACCGUGUACUCCAGGAAUGUACUGUGAAGAACAAGGUUUGGACUACCCAUCUGGUCCUUGUGAGCCAGGAUAUUACUGUCCAGCUGGUCAAAAUUCAUCCAGACCAUAUGACUAUCCAUGUCCUAUUGCACAUUACUGUCCGUUGAAUUCAUCCGAUCCAAUACCGUGUCCAUUUGGUACUUUUAUGAACCAUACACACGCAUAUCAAUGUGAUAUCUGUAUAGCAGGAUGGUAUUGUAUUCUUGGUGACCUUAUGACAUUGUGUCCCGAAGGCUAUUAUUGUCCGGAAGGUACCGGUACUGAUUGGCAACCGUGUCCACGUGGCACGUAUAAUAAUGAGACUGGUCUGUCUGCAGAGCCAGACUGUAAACCCUGUAACGGUGGUUAUUAUUGUGAUCAUAUAGCUGCCAUCACAGUCACAGAUAAGUGCCAAGCAGGUUACUAUUGUGAAUAUGGUGUGGAUAGACCCACUCCUAAUGGAGACAAUAACAUAACACUCACGAAUGGAACAUGCUCAGUACCAUAUGGCCAGACUGGAAUGGGAGAUGUAUGUCCUGAGGGUCAUUACUGUCCAGAGGGAUCACCACAACCUAUACUAUGUCCAGCUGGAAGUUAUGCAAAUGAAACUGGACGAUCGCUCUGCAUUGAUUGUCCAGCCGGAUAUUACUGUCCAGAAGGAUCUGUCAUCUUUGAAGAUAAAGCAUGCCCACCUGGACAUUACUGUCCUAUUGGCACAGGUGCUGAAUUUGAGAACCCCUGCCCAGCUGGUACAUUCUAUAAUGUUACCCGUGCCACAGAUGUUCUUGAUUGUUUACCAUGUACAUGUGGUUAUUAUUGUGAGCUUGAUGGAUUGGAUUGGCCAACAGAUAUGUGUGAUCCAGGUUGGUAUUGUGGUGGUAAUGCUAGCACAGCUCAGAGUGUCACUGACGGUGGAGAGUGUCAACCAGGUGAAUACUGCCCUCAGGGGUCAUGUAAACCUGUACCCUGUGACCCUGGUACAUAUUGUCAGGUUGCCGGACUGGAUACACCUACUGGUAACUGUACUGCUGGUUUCUAUUGCAUUCUGGGAGCAUUUGACUCAACCCCAACAGACAACACAACUGGUGCUGUAUGUCCAGUUGGUCACUAUUGUCCUGAAGGAAGUAGUGAUAAAACACCAUGUCCAACUGGUACCUAUCUGGACAGUAUCCAGAAUGAUGAAGAAUUGGACUGUAUUCCAUGUAUGGAGGGCUAUUAUUGUCCAGGUGUUGGUAGAGAGCUUCCUAUUGGUCCAUGUGAUCCUGGCUAUUAUUGUCCACCUGGUCAGAACCAAUCAGCAUCCCCAGAUUACAGGUGUCCAUUGGGUCAUUAUUGUCCACUUGGUUCAGACGAUCCAGUACGUUGUGAGAAUGGUACCUACCAAGACGAAGAGGCACAGAGUACAUGUAAGAUCUGUCCAUCUGGAUACUUCUGUGAUAACACCAUGGCUCCAGUAGUUCUGGAUAACAGUACAACACUCUGUCCAAUGGGUUACUACUGUCCAGAUGGUACCAGAUAUGCAUAUGAGUUUCCAUGUCCAAUUGGAACAUUCAAUAAUCUCACAGGUUUACGUCAGAUGGAGGAUUGUACUCCAUGCCUAGGUGGUUAUUACUGUCCAUUACCGGGUAUGGUGACUCCUAUAGACCCAUGUGAUGCAGGCUAUUAUUGUAAACAAUAUGCUAAUAUAUCAGCUCCAAAUCAAGGUGAUGAUGCGAAUAUAUGCCCUGAAGGUUACUAUUGCCCAGAAGGUACAGCAGAUCCAGUCCCUUGUCCCAAAGGUACAUUUGGUAACAUCACUGGUCUGGAAGCGGAGACUGACUGUGUUCCUUGUACUCCAGGGUUCUAUUGCCCCGAUUUGUACAUGACACACACCACUCUACUUUGCCACCAAGGUUACUACUGUGUAGCAGGCUCUUGGGAUCCAAGGAAUGAGUCUUGUCCUACCGGUCAUUAUUGUCCAGAGGGGUCUGGUUGGCCAACACCUUGUCCUAGAGGUACCUAUGUCAAUACACUCAACAGGUGGAUGUUAUCACAAUGUGAUCCAUGUGAUGACGGCACAUAUUGUAAUGAAACUGGUCUCUCUGCGCCAUCUGGAGAUUGUGAUCCAGGAUUUUACUGCCCACCUGGACAGAUCGUACCCAACCCUUCAGAUUACCCAUGUAGCAUUGGGUUACAUUGCCCCAUGGGUAGUGCAUUACCAGUUCCAUGCGAACCAGGCACCUAUACAAACUACACUCAGGCUGAUGAGUGUUUGGAAUGCCCAGCUGGAUUCUAUUGUGUACCGGAGGAAGUUAUUGAAGGUAACUCCUCCACUGGCCAUCGUUUAUGUCCACAAGGAUUCUAUUGCAUUGCUGGCACUGGACGUAACUGGACAUCCUGUCCAUCUGGGACCUAUGGUGCCAGACUGGGACUUGAAAUGGAGACUGACUGUACUGACUGUCCUGGUGGCUUCUACUGUGAGGGAGUGAACCUUACAUCUCCCACAGAUGAGUGUGAUCCGGGAUAUUUCUGUGUUUCAAGAGUUAACAAACCAAAUCCUACACCUAUUGAUGCUAUAGCAUGUGAUGUUGAAGGUGUUCAUACUGGUAUAGGUGGUGUCUGUCCAGUUGGUUAUCACUGUCCUCGUGGAUCUGAAUGGCCUGUAGGAUGUACACCUGGUACUUAUCAAGACCAGCUUGGACAAGAACUGUGUAAAGCGUGUCCAUCUGGUUAUUAUUGUGAAGGCAAUUUUACUACCUAUUCAGAUACUAUCUGUCCAACGGGGUAUUACUGCCCUCAAGGAACGCAGUAUGAUCAUCAAUAUCCAUGUCCUGAGGGUACCUUUAACAAUCUUACUGGUGGUCACAAUGAGUCGUGGUGUGUGGAUUGUACACCUGGUAUGUACUGUGAAGGUCAAGGUAACAGUCAGCCGACUGAUUAUUGUGAUGCAGGAUGGUAUUGUAUCAGUGGAUCAUAUCAAACACAUCCAUCAACACCAUAUGGAGGACAAUGUGUUGCAGGUCAAUAUUGUCCAAUUGGAUCAUCAGAACCACAGUCAUGUGACCCUGGUAUGUAUUGUGAUGUGAAUGGUAUGGCUGAACCCAGAGGUGAUUGUUAUGCUGGAUAUUACUGUACAAAUGGUUCCAUAACACCAACACCGAGUGGAGUUGCAGGUAAUCAGUGUAGUCCUGGGUUUUACUGCGUUGAGGGCAGUAGUCGUGAGGAACCCUGUCCACCAGGUACAUACCUACCAAGCUAUAGAUCUAAGAAUAUCACAUACUGUCUGGAUUGUUUAUCUGGUAAAUAUUGUAAUGAAAGCGGAUUGUCACAACCACAAGGAUUAUGCACUCAAGGUUUUUACUGUCCACCAGGCCAGACUGUGGCCACACCCAAUGACUACAUAUGUCCAGUCGGUCACUACUGUGUGGAGGGCUCAUCGGACAAACAACCUUGUAACAGUGGUACUUACCAAGAUGAAAUAGAACAAUGGGAAUGUAAACAAUGCCCAGCUGGUUUUUAUUGUGAUAAUUCCAUUCUACCAGUUGUCAACUACACUGCGUUUGUGUGCCCACCAGGUUACUAUUGUCCUAAUGGCACACAGUUCUCUAAUGGGUUUGAAUGUCCUAUUGGUACAUUCAACAACAUAACAGGACUGACUGCCAUAGAUGAAUGCUCUCCAUGUCUCGGUGGCUAUUACUGUGGUCAGCCUGGGCUUGUCUACCCUAUCACUUUGUGUAGCCCGGGAUAUUACUGUCGCCGUGGUGCCAAGAAUGCAGCUCCAGAUCAGAUGGAUGAUGCAAACAUGUGUCCAGUUGGACAUUAUUGUGUGGAAGGAACCUCAGAACCAGUCGCUUGUCCGAUCGGGACAUUUAGUAAUCUGACUGGCUUACAGAAUGUGACUGAAUGUGAAGCAUGUACACCAGGUUUCUACUGUGAUGCAAUAGGUUUAAUUGAACCUACUGGUCCAUGCUCAGCUGGAUUCUAUUGUCCAUCAGCAUCUAUCACUAGUGUGGAAAUAAUCUGUCCGGUCGGUAAAUAUUGUCCGGUACAAACAGCUGUACCAUAUAGUUGUCCAUCUGGUACAUUUUCCAACAACACAAGACUUGAGUCUUCUGGUGACUGUACACCAUGUACUGAAGGCUGGUAUUGUCUGAAUUCUGGUCUGACUGAACCAGAUGGCUUAUGUUCACCAGGAUAUUACUGCCCUACAGGGUCUGAUAAUCCCACCCCAGUAGAGUGUCCUAUUGGUUUACAUUGUCCAUUAGGAUCACCAGCUCCAUUUGCAUGUAUCAGUGGAUAUUUUACUAAUAGGACAAGACGAUCCGUCUGUGAGAUAUGUACACAAGGAUAUUACUGUCUGCCUGAAAAUGAAACUAUUGGACACCCAGACUUGCAAUCUGGUUACACUGACUGUCCAGCUGGCUAUUAUUGUCCUCAAGGUACCGGAUUAGAUUGGCAACCUUGUCCUGCUGGAACUUACAGUAACCAGACAAACUUGUUCAAGAUCACACAAUGUACUGACUGUGAUGGUGGAUUCUAUUGUUCACAACAAGCUGCUAUUGAUGUGACAGCUUUGUGUUCACCUGGUUACUGGUGUGAUUCCGGAGUGGAUAGACCAAAUCCUAAUAAUGAUGAUACCAACUCUACCUACAAUGCUUCCUGUCCAUUACUAGGAGGACAUACAGGCAUUGGAGGUGUGUGUCCAAGAGGCUACCACUGUCCAUUGGGUACAACACUACCACUGGGUUGUAGUGCAGGAACCUAUCAAGACCAGGAAGGGACAAGUUCUUGUAAAGUAUGCCCAAGUGGUUAUUUCUGUGAAGCUAAUGCUACCACCUAUACUGACACACCAUGCCCUGUGGGUAACUAUUGCCCUGCUGGCACGGGAUAUUCCAACCAAUUUCCAUGUUCUGCUGGUACAUUUAAUCAUCUAGAAAAACAAAUAAUGAAAGUUCAUGUGUGUUAUGUACUGGUGGCAUGUACUGUCAAGGAAUGGGUAAUGAACGACCCACAGCAAACUGCAGGUAUUGAGGGCUGGUAUUGUAUUGAAGGGUCAGCAAGUCCAAUGCCAUCAGAUCCAAACAUUGGUGGUCAAUGCCAACCUGGUGAUUACUGUCCGGGUGGAUCAGAGUUACCAACACCAUGUGAUCCGGGCUGGUAUUGUCCAACAUCCGGAUUGGCAGCACCAGUAGCUGAAUGUAACCAAGGAUAUUAUUGUACACUUGGUGCAUCUGUACACAGUCCUACAGACAAUGUCACUGGUAACAUCUGUCCUAAGGGUUAUUACUGUCCGCAAGGUAGUUCCAUUCCAUCACCUUGUCCUAUGGGUUAUUAUUUAGACACUACUGGUAACAGUCAACCUUCCAAUUGUAAGAUAUGUACUGAAGGUAAAUACUGUCCUGUCGAAGGCUUGCCAGAGCCGGUUGGAGACUGCCAACAAGGGUAUUACUGCCCACCAGGUCAAGAUACAGCCACACCUGGAAAUUAUACAUGUCCAGAAGGUCAUUUUUGUGUCACCGGAAGAGGUACACCAGAACCAUGCCCAUCUGGAAGCUAUCAAAACAUUCCUGGAGAGUGGACUUGUUUAGAAUGUCCACCAGGUUAUUACUGUAAUUCUACAUUUGGUCCAGUUGUCUGGUACGGAGCUUACAUCUGUCCAAUGGGAUACUACUGUCCGAAUGGUACCAGAUAUGCAGAACAGUGGCCCUGUCCGGUGGGUACGUUCAAUAACUUGACUGGCAUUGCUGCUGAAUCUGACUGUACUCCGUGUAUUGGUGAAAUGGCUUGUGAUGAACAAGGUUUGGCAUCCCCGCCUAGACCCUGUUCUGCUGGAUAUUACUGUAAAAUUGGUGCCUAUAUGACCACACCUAACCAAGGUCUUGAUGCUAAUAUAUGUCCAGCAGGCUACUAUUGUCCAGAAGGUACUGACCAGCCGAUAGCAUGUCCUGAGGGAUUCUUUAGUCCAAAUGAUGGAUUGAUGGGAUUGGAUGAGUGCUUGAACUGUUCUGCUGGGUAUUUCUGUAAUCAGACCGCUCUGACAGCUGUCAGUGGGCCUUGUAUACCAGGGUAUUACUGCAUUGAAGGUUCCACAAGACCAGAUAAUGCCAUCUGUCCUGAAGGAUACUACUGCGGCUGGGCAACCUUUGACCCUGCGCCAUGUCCAAAUGGAACAUACUCUAAUGAUACCGGAUUGCAGACAGUGGACCAGUGUAUUUCAUGUAAUCCUGGUUAUUAUUGUGAAGGACCAGGUAAUAGUGUUCCAAGAUGAAUGUGUUUUCAAGGUUACUAUUGCCCUGGUGGUGCAAACAUAGCAACAUAUAUCAUCUGCCCAGCUGGCAAAUACUGCCCUCAAGGCAGUGCACACCCAUUGGAUUGUUUACCGGGCAGUUAUGUAGAUUAUGAAGGUGCCUGGCAGUGUACACCAUGUCCAGAAGGUUACUACUGUGUACCAGAAUUGGUAGUAGAGGGAGAUGCCAGCACAAGUUAUACACCAUGCCCAGCUGGUUUCUUCUGUCCUAAUGGAACCGGAUUAGACUGGCAAUCCUGUCCAUCUGGUAGCUAUGGACCAGUAACACGUCUAACAGAAGCUGAAGAAUGCACUCCAUGUGAUGGUGGAAAGUAUUGCCAAGGAGUGAAUCUAACGGAGCCAUCUGGUGACUGCUUACCCGGAUAUUAUUGUGUAUCUGGUGCUGAUAAAGCCAAUCCAACUAUGGUGAAUGAAGACCAGUGUCCAACUGAUACCAUCCAUCCAAUUAUUGGACAUAUAUGUCCAGUUGGUCACUACUGUCCUGGUGCUACAACAUAUCCAUAUGGGUGUCCACCUGGUGACUACAAUGAUCUACCUGGACAGGACUCCUGUAAAGACUGUCCUGAAGGCUAUUAUUGUUAUUCUAACACUACAGACUACACACCUAAUGAGUGUCCAUCAGGAUUCUACUGUCCUCUUAAUACACCAGACCCAUUUGCAUACCCUUGUCCACCAGGGACGUAUAACAGCUACACAGCGCAGCAAUCCGUUGAUUCUUGCGAACCAUGUACACCAGGAUUUUAUUGUGAAGGUUAUAAUAAUACAUUCCCAACAGCACCAUGUGAUGAAGGCUAUUACUGUACUGGUAGUGCAUCUGAUAACCCAGUAAGUUAUUAUUGUGACAACACCAUAUCAGCAGUAACUGGUCUGUUCAAUGCAUCAUGUCCUGAAGGAUAUUAUUGUUUAGCUGGUACAACCAGAUCUAAUGAGUAUCCAUGUCCCAGUGGAACAUUCCUGAAUUCUACGAAUGCUGUAGAUGUAUCUGAAUGUCUUCACUGUCCACCCAAGUAUUACUGUAUGACUCCAGGACUGGCUGAACCAGAGGGUGAAUGCUAUGCAGGCUAUUAUUGUACAGGUGGCAUAGACACCCCAACACCAGCUGCUUGGCUCUGUCCUGUGGGUAAUUAUUGUCCUCUUGGUAGCUACAUGCCAACGCCUUGUCCAUCAGGUACCUAUAUCUAGUGGGGAAGGUAAUAAGAAUAUUACAGACUGUGCACCAUGUCCACCAGGGCAGUAUUGUACACCAGAAAGCUCUCAGACUGGUGAUACCAUGCCGUGUUCUCCUGGCUAUGUCUGUACUGGUGGGUCGAGUUUAGGUGAACCAGCAGAUGGAAUUAUGGGAUACAUUUGUCCUGAAGGUCACUAUUGCCCGAGUGCUACAAAUGUUGAAAUCAUGUGUAAUAAAGGUAGCUAUGCACCAAGCAUAGGAUUGGGUGAAUGUCUUGGAUGUCCUGUCGGUACUACAUGUCCUAAUAAAGGAAUGAAUGAAACCUUACCAUGUCCAGGUGGUUACUACUGUGUGGAAAAUACAACAGGCAAUGGUAUACCAUGUCCAAUAGGAACAUUCAACAACUUAACUGGUUUGGAAUCUGCCAGUGCAUGUCAGCCAUGUCUGCCUGGUAUGUACUGCGACUUAUCUGGUUUAUCAUGGCCGAGUGACUUAUGUGAUGCUGGCUACGUGUGUGGUGGUGGUGCUAGUAGUGCUGAACCUGGUGAUGAUGGCAUCAAUGGACCAUGUCCUGUUGGACAUUACUGUGAACAAGGUACUUCCAAUGCUACAGCAUGUCCACGUGGUACAAUGAAUCCGAAUACGGGUGGUGAAUCUGUUGAUGAUUGUAGACCAUGUUUACCAGGUUUCUAUUGUGCAGAUACGGGAAUGGACUCCCCAACUGGUCCUUGUAAUGAAGGAUUUUACUGUCCAGGAGAUGUUCCGAUUGAUAAUCCAACUCCAACUGCUACCCUUGUCCUAAAGGUUUCUACUGUCUUGAAAACACUGGUACUCCUUAUGGUGUGCUCCUGUAGCGUGCCAAUGGAAUGUGAACCAUAUGCGUACUGUCCAGAAGGGUCUGUCGAACCUACACUGUGUCCUAAUGGUACCUACACCGAGGAUACCAUAGCAACUGGACUCCAGAACCAAGUGAAUGCACACCUUGCCCUGCUGACUUUACUCUGUCUUGUUCUAGGUCGAUUCUGUGUUGGUGGUCAGAAUACAGGACCAUGUGCUGCCGGGUAUUUAUGUUAUAGUGGUAGUGGGACACCAAUACCUGAUGGAUCUGAACCACAUAAAGGAGAACCAUGUCCAUUUGGCUAUUAUUGUCUAGAAGGAGCCCUUAAUACGUCUCAGUGUAAUGAUGGACUUGUCAUUGAUAAAACUGGUGCCACUAGUGAUGCAGACUGUACAGUUUGUCCAGCUGGUUAUAUCUGUCCUGAUAAUGGUGUAGUACCUGAAUUAUGUACUGUAGGAAUGGCGGAUUACACCAUCUUUCCCUGUCCAGUUGCACAUUUCUGUCCUGAGUCAGCUACCGAACCAAUACCAUGUCCUGCUGGUACUUACAGAGAUACUCAAGAAGCUGGAGAUAUCACAGAGUGCUGGUUAUGUCCUGCUGGUUACUACUGUCCUAAUGAUACAUCAAACAUAGUAGGAAUUGAAUGUCUAGAUGGUCAAUAUUGCCCUGAAGGAUCAUGGGAUCAGAGAGACUGUAUACCAGGUUAUUACUGUAACCGAUCCAUGACUCAAGAACCGUGUCCUGGUGGUUUCUACUGUCCGGUCAACUCAAGUUAUCCAUCACCUUGUCCCCCUGGACAUUACUGCCCUGGUGACUGGUGUAAUGGCACAAAUCUAGGUUCUAUGGAGCCCACCAAGUGUCCACUUGGUUACAGAGAGUAUGACGGUUCACCUAGAAACACAUUCGAAGAUACUUGUGAAAUUUGUAGACCUGGUUACUAUGGUAACCAUCCAGAAAGGGAGAAUUGUACUAUCUGUCAACCUGGUGUUGUUUGUUUAGCUGGCGCCACUACGGAUCAGCCAAUGGCCAAUGAUACUAUAUGGGGUAUCAAUAAUACCAAUUCAUUCCCAUGCCCAAUUGCUAAGGGAUUCUUGGGUGUGUAUAAACCUGACAUGGAUCAGACAUUGCUACUGUUUGAAGACAAUUUGAAAGGAGACCACAAUACGACAAAAGUGCGAGCAAGACGCUCAGCAGAAAAUGUAUUCUCCAUGAGUAGAUUUUAUAAUCCAAACGAUACAUUUGCCAGUAGACGACUAUUUGGUGCCUCGGUACUACCAGGUUCUAACUACGUUGGAGUGGACAACCCCACUGUAUGUCUCAAGUUUGGUGAAGUUGUCCUCUUUAGUGUUAGCAAUGACUACUAUCCAGUAUAUGAUAGGGAGAAUUUGUAUAACACCAAUGAAGCAUUUGACUAUGGUGGAUUCCGUGAAUUACAGGAGACUCAGUCUCUGAUUGGUACACAGACUACGCUAUUUGUGUACAAAUUUGAAGAACCAGGUGUAUAUGUAUUCUAUAUGAACACAAAUAAGGACAGGAAGAUGUAUGUACGAGUAAUGGCUGCAAAUGCUCAGUGUUCAGAAGAUGGUCCCUUCUUCCCAACAACACCAAGAUACAUUAUUCAGAACGGUAUUGCGAUAGAACAAGAUAUCCUGUUGACACCAGACUGGAUACUCAUUGCUAGUAUGUUUGCAGGAGCCAUACUUAUCAUGAUUGUAUUAGUUAUAGCACUGCUUUUGUUCCGUAAAUAUGGUUGGGACAAAUCAAUGUACAUCCGACCCAAAUACAGAAUAGUUACUCAAAGGCAGAAUUUUGAUGAUUUAUCAUCUAAGGGAUCUGCCGUACAUCAUGUCAAGAAAUAUCAUAGAAAUAUGGAACAUCGACAAGCCAUUGAGAAUGGCGAUACCAAUACUUUUGGUGUUCUGGCUCUGGCUAAUGGGGCUCAUGAUCCUAUUGAUGAUGUUAAGAAAGAUGAAUUCAUGGACUAUGAUCGGCAGUUAGACUUAGAAGCAUUCAGUUCACAAGAAUUAUACGAUCACCUCGCACGACAGGCCAGGCAUGUUACUGCUGAACUGGGAAGGCAGAAAGAAGAAGCAAAGGCCUUGUAUCAGAAGAUAAACGGCCAGGCAGAGUCUCUCAAAGGAUUGUGGGUUGCUAAAAUGAAUCUCAAAGGACGGUCAUCGUUAGCAACCAAGGAUGACUUAGCGGCAUACGAAAGGAAACGUAAUGCUUUGGAUAUUGAACUUGAAAGACGCAAGGAACUGGGGCGACAAUUUGAAGCCGUUCUGAGACGACAGAGACAGUUGAUGUUAGAAGACGAACAUUACAGGGAGGAACACCAGGUUGCAUAUGUGGCUGCUCUUCGGGAAUCUAAACGUGUACUAGAUGAAUACAAUGGAAAGGUUAUGAGGGGUGAAAUCAAACGAGAUGAUGAAUACGAUGACACUGUACCACGUCAUGUAGUACGACGAGUUGGUGCUUUAGUUCAGCGUAUGUCAGCUGAAGUACAGGCAGAAGCACAAAGACUAGGUACAUGGGGAGUGUUAGGACAAGCCACUGGUGCUGUCUUGGUUGGACCAAAUAACGAAGCAAUGACAGUUGACACUCUGUUUGGUCCUGAUGGUACUCUACUGAAUACUGAUUUGAUACAACAAGACAGAGUGAGUGGUCUAAUUAUACCAAACACAAACGCUAAAAUGAUUCUACCAGAUGGAACUACAACACAUGUACCUCCACAUUACUUUGUGCACCCGCAAACUGGACAUGUUUUGCCUAUAGAGGGCAGUGUUUCAUAUGAUCCAUUGACAUCCAGACUUGUGUUUACUGCUGAUUCUGCUACAGGGGAAGCUGUGAGAUCUGAUGAACCACUGAUUCCUUUCAUUCCAUAUCCGAGUGAUCCAGAAUCUGGCAUGCCGAUAGAAACCGGAUUGUCUCCUUUGGAGAAACGUAGUGAUCUAAAACUUGGCGGUGCCAUAUCAGACCCUGUGAGUGGUUUACACGUACCCAUCAUUGCAGUAACCAUUCAUCCACAGACUGGACUCACAUAUCCAGUUGGUGGUACCCAUACGGAUCCUGUGACUGGUCUUCCAAUCGCCAUAGAAACAGGCUCUAUAAUGAUGGAUCCAGGUACUGAGCAGCCAGUACCAAUAUUAGCUGUAACCUUUGACCCAGAAACAGGUGAUGUGAUUCCUGUUGGUGGAACAAUGAGUGGUAACCAAGGCAACCAUGCAACGGUACCAAUUAUUCCUGGUGAUAAAUACGUAGAACCUCUAAGUGGUAAAUCAGUUGUGGUUCACGGUGGAUGUAUCGUAGAUAAUGACGCUGUCCCAUCACAUGGUGGUUACCAAGGGUUACUGGAUGCUAGCGUACUUGCUUGUGAAGUCAGAACAACCGAGGCUAUCAGGGACUACUUGGAAGCAGCUAUGGGACCUGAAUCGGGUAAUACUCGACAUGAACAGAGUUUACUGGAGACAGCGAUGGCAGAAUUAAUGAAAUCUAGGAAUAAAUGCAAAGGAGCUUUGUUGAGAACUAGUCAUGAUUUAACGCGACGAGAAGAGAGGUCUUCCAUACUGACGGCUACUGGUGGCUGUGCUGGUAUGUAUGAAUUCUCAGCUACUGGUCAAUUAUUGCCAAUCCUAGUGGGUACUACUAUGGUUGACCCCGGUGGUUCAGGUCAGCAAGUACCAAUCCUAGGCGCUGAAAGAGACAAUAAUACAAGUGAGAUCAAACCACUUGGUGGAACCAUGGAAGAUCCUGAUGGGCAAGGUCUGAUACCUAUAAUGAUUGGUAAGCAAGCUGUUGAUCCAGUCAGUGGUGAACUGAGUCCCAUCAACGGUGUCAGAACAAACCCAGAGACAAACACUGUAAUACCUGUGACACUAUCAUCAGGUGGACAUAGGAAAAGGAAACCACCUCUCGGAGCUGUUGCACUUCUUGAAGAUGAGCUUGUUGCACGUCGUGGUUUCUGGCGUCGUCAACGUCAAAAUGAAGCUGAUUUGACCAUUAAAGAAUCGUUAUUAGUUUACCAACUAUUGCAUGAGAUACAGGAUGUGACAACAGAAAAGAUGGACUCAGUUCUAGAAUCUAUUGUUACUGAUUCGCAGAGUAUUUCUGAAUCUGCCAAACGUGAAGUGAAACGCCGUGCUGAUGCAGAAGAAGAACUUGCAUCCAUUUUACCACCUGAUGUGAUUGCCAUACUCACCCAAGGUGACCAGUAUGAGAGGGAAGGUGAAGAGCGCCACCAUACUGCACAUACAAAGUUUGUUGCCACUAUUAAAAAAUUCUUCACUAAACUACAGACUGAAGAAACUAAAUUCCAUGAGAGACUCGCAGAAUUGGAGGAUGCCAUGAAUCCUGAUGCAGAGGAUACAGUGUUACAAAGAUAUAAACAAACUAAAGCUAGAUUACAGAGUGAAUUACAGGAUCAGUUGUUAACUAGAACAGAACAACUAGAUGAAGAGCAUUCCUCUUUGGAGUAUGCUAGAGAAAGAAGUGAACUACUGGGACUGAUUGUGUUGACGAAUGGUGCAAUGUUGGCUGGUGACUAUGAUGCGACUAUAACAGGAGUGUAUGGAGAAGAUAAUAUCCCAUCGUCUUCAUCAAAUAAAGAAAUCAUUCCACUAUUAAAACAGCUGAUUGCUAUGCUUGAGAAAGGUGUUCAUUUCAAUUUGACCCUAGAAGGUCAAGGUGGUGCAGGUAGAAGUGGAGAUGGUCUUGUUAAUAUUAACAGACAGGGUGGAGGAACUUCUGUUGGUGGAAACAUUGUGAGAGGUGAUGCCUAUAAUAUUAAUAUGCGUAAAGGUGAUGAUAAGACAACUGAUGCUGAGAAAAAGAAGGAACAGGGACUGAAAGAUAAACAAGAUGAAUUAAGAAAAAAAUUGAGGGCAGCUUCUUCUGAUGCUGAAAGAGAACGUAUCUUGUUAGAGUAUGCCCAACAGAUGCAAAGAUUAUCUGAAAAACAGGAGCAAGAGAAACAGACACAACUUGAGAAAUUACAAAAACAACUCAAAGACAGACGUAAUAGACAGAAGAAGGACUUACACAGAAAACAAGUUUCUGAAGCCAAGUCGGAAGGACUGAAAGAUGAGGAUGUUCCUGACAUGACUGAUCCAUCGGAUGCACAACAGGACAAAGAAUUCAGAUUACUUGCAUUACAACAAGAAAAACUAUUGGCUGAGUUACAGAAAGCUUAUGCAGAAGAGAUGGAGAAGGCUGCCAAUAAUGAAGCUAGAAAAUCUGAAAUGGAUGCCGAGAUGGAAGCAAGAAUGAGAGCUCUUAACUUGGCCAAUAAACAGAAAGUAGAUGAGGCAUUGGAUUCUUUGAAUAAAAAAAAUGCACAAAAUAAAGAUAUGAGAAAGAAUAUGAAAGACCGAAUGAAAGCCCGUAAAGACAGAAAGCGAGAUAAAAAAUCCCUUCCAUCGAAUAUUAAACCAGGCACUGAGGAAGGAAAAGAAUACCUAGAGACUGCAAAUACUCAGGAAGAUGCCGACAGGGAAAGAGAAGAACAAGCUCUACUCAAAAUAGCAGAUGAAGUCAUGGCUGAAGAAAGACAGAGAGCUUAUUGGGCAGCCUUGAAUGGAUUAAUGGAAGACAGCAACAAAACGCAAGAAGAACGAGACAAAAUAAUGGCAGAUUAUGACAAGAAUUCAGAGAGAAUCCAAAACAAAUUUGAUGCCCAGAAACAAAAACAACAAGAUGAAUUGAUGGCGAGACUUGCGGCAAGAAAGCGUAUGCGAGAAGAACUUACCACAGACGAGUCUGUUCAUAAAGAAUUGAACAAUGCGAGCAAACAAGUGGAGAAACAAAUGCAGAAACAAGUAGAACUGGAAGUACAACAGAAAGAAGUAGAAAAUAAGGCACAGAAGGAUCUUGAUGAUGAAGAAAGUCAAGAGACUGAGAAGAUAAACCGAGAGAUUGUUGAUGAAAAAAAUAGAAUAAUAGCCAAAAAAGAUGCAGCAUUUGAAAAGGAAAUGUUACUGAAGAGAAAACAACUAAGUGAUGAUGAAUAUCAAAAACUGUUGGAGAAACACAGACAAGAGAUGGAGAGAUUGGCAGCUGCGAUGGACCAGGAAAAAGAAAGACAAAAGAAGUCUUUACAAGAGAGAUUUGCUGAGAGGAAGAAAAAGAUGGCUGAGCAUUUGAGAAAAAAACAUCAAGCUGAAAUGGAGAAAGAGCUUGGACAACAACACAUGGAACGGGAGAAGAAAAUAGAGAAAGAGAUGCGAGGAAAAGAACGUCCUGCAAUAGACAGUGAAUUACAAGGUGAAGAUGUGAGCGCAGAGAAUGUCAUCUACAGAGUUUUAAGACAAAGACAUAUUAAAGAAACUGUUAAUCAGAAUGAGAAGAUGAAACAUGAACGAAAUGCAGCAAUUGCUGAUGCCAGGAAUAAAAUGGAAGAGGCGAGACAAUCUGAACGAGAUGAAUUGUUGGAGGCACAGAGACAAGAGUUAAUGGAUUUGAUUGCAAAUGCCGGUGAUAUGACAGAGGAAGAGUUGGCAGAUAAAAAAGAUGAUUUACUACGCCAGCAUAAGACACAAUUGAUGGAGUUUGAUAAAGUCACAGGUCAAAGAGUUGAGCAAGCAGAGAAGGAUGUACUACCCGGAUUGGAUGUCAAACAAGCACAUGAGAAACUAGCGUUGAAAGAAAAACAACUCCAAGAAUUAGCAGAUGCUAUGAGAGAUAUCUCUCAUGGAGAAGAGGACAUGGUGAGACGAUACAGUGAAGAGGCUGCCAAAGCUGCAGAAGAUGCAAAGAAGUUCCGGGAAACCAAAAUGAAGACACUCAAAGAACAAAUGGAUCAAAUCAAAGCUGAGAAAAAGAAACAAGAUGACGAAAGACGAAGAAAGAUGCAAGAACAACUCAAAAAUAUUGAAGAUGAAUUUGAGAAACAGAGACUCCGAGAUGAACAGAGGAUAAAGGAACGUGAUCUAGAACGUGAACAGUUGAGACAACAACAAAGAGAAGAAAGAGAAAAAAGGCUGAGAUCUGACUUAGACAAGGAAACUGAUGAAUCCAAGAAAAAGAAAAUACUUGCCGAUCAUGAAGCAGCUAUGAAAGCUUGGGAUGCCAAUCAAAAGAAAGAACAAGAGAAACAGAGCAGAGCAACCAGAAAGAAACUGGAAGCCAGAAGAAAGAAGAAAAAGGACAAAGAAUUGGCUAAAAUAAAUGAAAAAAACAACAUGGGGAAUGAAGUGACUGAGAGACAAGUAACCGACCAACUUAAUAUCCUGCAAGCUCGUGAUGCUGCUGAUUUGAACAGUCAUAACAAUGACUCUCUACGUCUCGAUGAUCCCUCACUUUGGAAUAAAGGCACAGCAAGCACAGAGUCUGGAUUACCAUCUGGGGUAGAAGAUGGUUGGAUGGCAGCUUUGAUGAAUUCACCACUUUAUCAACAAUUAACAGAAAUGGAAGAGAUGCUGAGAAGGAAUGCAGCUGAUGGAUCCGGCGCCGGAAUGUUAGGAUCCGGUGUCUAUGGUGCUGGAAGUGAUCCAUUUAUUGAUGUGAAAGAUGCUCAGUGGUUGUGUGGUGGUGAACUAACACCAGUCGAUAUCAACAGCAUUACACCAAGCCAGUUUGUCAUCUACCGAUUUGGUGUCUUCCUUCUACGCUUGCUUCAUAACGUCAUCCGUACUCCAGACGUCACACUCCUACUUGCAUCCAACUUACCACAGAAUAACUAUGAAAGGAAUAUGUUCCGUAAUUCUUUCUUUUACCAACAUGCAAACAACAUCUUGUUCAUCAGACAGGAGAGAUUGGAGUCUGUUGGUGAAUUUAUCAUGGUUGUACUGCAUUGUAUUGCGCAUAUCAAAGUGGGUGAUCUCGUCAAUGAUGCUAAUCCGUUAUUUAUGAGAGAAUUUUUCCGUGCUAUGAAUAUUGUUUGUCAAGACAUGUUCUUUGCACGUUCCCGUACCACAUCCGCUACUGGGCGUCUCACUGGUAUACCAACUACAUCGGGUAAGACAGCCCUGGAAACUGCUUUCAGACAUACCAAAUCAUCAGAUGAUAAAACUACAGUUGUUGGUGAACUUGUCAAUGUCAAGGUGAAAUUACCGACAGAAACUACAUUCGAACGUGAGAAUAUUAAUGAGCGUUCAGCUACCCAUCAACAAGCGAACACGUAUUCCAAAUUACGGGAAUUCCUGUCCAAUCAUGGUGGAGCCAAAAUGAACUCUGAUGUUGUAGGUGGACGAUUACAGGAACUCAGAGGUCAAAAACCAAGUAAAGAACAAGCUAAAAGACCAACUCUCAAGCCAUCCAGCAGUGGCCUGAAAAGUCACAAAGAUUUACUAGAGAUGCAGAUGAAUCAAAUGGAAUCUCAGCUGGACAGUCUCAACAGUCAAGUAUCAAGUGUUCUAGGAGACAUGCAGUCAGUCAAUCAGGGGAUACAACAAGCUGACUCAACCAAGAAAACUGACAGCCUCAAAUCUCAAAUAAAUAUAUUGGCAAUGAAGAAAGACAAUCUCAUGAAAAAGAUUGCUCAAAUCGAGAGAGAUAUUGUUAAAAAAGAACAAGAAUGGCAGACAGCCAAGUAAUGAAAAACGAAUUUAUCGUUAUUUACUAAAAUUUGAUAAUAUAUAUACGACAACAGUCACAUUCCAAAGGACAUUUACAGUAGAAUAUUUUCUCAGAUGUUAUAAGCUUGCAAUAAUUUAGAUAUUUUUAUUUUAAUAUUUUUUAGGCUGGUCCUAUUUUACAGUGUUUGUAUUUUAUUUCUCCUUUCGUCUAUCCAUCCAUUCAUCCAUGAUUUUUAAAUGUCAGACCUAGAUUUUUAUAACAAGUCUUUCACUUCUCUGGGCUGAUUUGUAUCCAUCCAAAGCGCAGGUUAGUUCCAAAGUCCUCACUUCCCCGUCCAAAGUCUGGAAUAGUUUACUCUCCCGUCCAAAACCCAGAAUAAUUUCCAUUAUCUUCC